UACGGAGGAUGCGAGCGUUAUCCGGAUUUAUUGGGUUUAAAGGGUGCGUAGGCGGAUCGUUAAGUCAGUGGUCAAAUUGAGGGGCUCAACCCCUUCCCGCCAUUGAAACUGGCGAUCUUGAGUGGAAGAGAAGUAUGCGGAAUGCGUGGUGUAGCGGUGAAAUGCAUAGAUAUUAGGAGGAACACCAGUGGCGAAGGCGGCCUGCUGGACAGUAACUGACGUUGAGGCUCGAAAGCGUGGGGAGCAAGCAGG
rnacentral:rRNA from 1 species